UUUGGUGGUCAUAGCGUGAGCAAAACACCCGGCUCCAUUCCGAACCCGGCCGUUAAGUGCCACCGCGCCAAUGGUACUGCGACUCAAGUCGUGGGAGAGUAGGUCACCGCCAAACCUAGUAAGAUGCUAUAAAAUCAAAUCCAAAGCGUGUCUCUCUGAA
rnacentral:rRNA from 1 species